AGAGUGCGCGAAUGCAGUUCACAGCAGUGUGAGAGUAUCGCAUUAUGAGCUUCAGUGGUUCGUGGGUUCUUUUUCCAUUGAUGUAUCGGGCAUAAUUUAAAGCUUGCUCAACACCCGCAAACAUUAGAUUUUAAGUAGAUUUUCUAUUAUAGCCUAACAAUCCAAAGUGUAAGUGUUUUUUGGUUUGUUUCUUUUGUAGGCUGCUGGCUUUGUUUUGUUUUUGUAGACUGGUUUAGAAUGUUCCAAUUCUAUUUUGUGGACAUUAUGUUAGAUUUAUGAAAUUCUCAUUAUUUCUCAGCAGAAGUAAUGUUUGAUCUUUAGCCCGAACAAUGCUCUCAAUAAUUUUCAAGAUUGUUUCAUUUGGAUAUGAACUAUUCUGGCGAACUUGCUGAGAUUAGGCUGUCAAUCAUAAAUAGGCCUAUUGAAACAGGGUUGGUCCAAAAAUAAAUGUUUAAAAUAUAUUUAUACAUUUCUGACUCUAUACCUACAAUACUGAUUUCGAGUUUGGAGUUAAUAAAAAAAUAUACCAAAUUAGAGAAAAAUCAUACAAAUAUUGUUUUGCUUAAUGCUAAGCAAGUCUAAGAAUAUUAGUUUCAAAAUUGCACUUUUUAACCGUCCACUCCCUGUCCCAUUGGUAUUUCAUAGGCUAUAUGUAUUGAGUGCUCAGAAGGUAAUAUUUUCUGUGGUGUACUGCUCUCCAAUCACUGGCACGGCCCCUAGUGGACAAUAAUAUGAAGCUUGGAGAUUCAUAAUUCUAUAUAUUUUCUUACCUGAAGUCUCUCUCUCUUCCGCUCUCUCUCUCGCUGAGAAAAGGAAGGAUCUGUUGAAAAAGUAAACCAAUUUAUUAAAUAAACAUAUUACAUCCAAUUAGUAAUAUCACGGCUGGUUUGGUUAUGUUGGAUUAUAUAGAUUGCGUAAUGAGUUAGGCUAUAGGCCUAAGGGUUAUUAUGGCAGGCUUGUUUUAUUAUCGGGUGAGGUGUCAGUUUUGAAAGGGAGCAAUAGUGACUACAUUUUUGAGAACGGAAGGCUUUACCAUCUAUAACAGAUUCCCUCUUUAAGACAUUUUCACACUCAUUGUGUUCAAGAGUUAAUAGGGAUGGGCCUGCAUUUAAUGUUUGCGCUUUACUAUAAAUGACAAAGUUAAUUUGCCCUGAAUUGCAGUGCUUUUCUUUUUUAGUUUAUACAUAAAUAAAAUACCCUAUACAUUAGUUAUCAUGUCUUUUGCUCCGUCCAGCCUUCAUUGCAAAUAUGGUUUAUAUGCUGCAAACAGAAGUAAAGGUUGGUUUGGUCUCAAGAGUGGUCAAAUGAGGUUUGCCCGCAAUUCUGUUAGUUGUCGGUUUGCUAAUUACAAAUGCAGGGAAACUCCUGUUAAGUAUUCUUCAUGAUGUUGCAGACUCCCGCUGUUUCUUUCACAUUAUCAUAAGCAGAUUACAAAUAGCGGGGAACACUCCCAUAUGCAGAUAGAGGAGAGGGCUAUUUCCAACUUGCAUUAUAAUGGUCUGCUCUGCUGUAGCCUAGGCCUACCUUAUCGCCACAUCUCACCCAAUUACUCAAAUGUUAAACUUUUCAAUAUGGUGGUAAUAAACUAAUCAAAUCAAAUCAAAUGUAUUUAUAUAGCCCUUCGUACAUCAGCUGAUAUCUCAAAGUGCUGUACAGAAACCCAGCCUAAAACCCCAAACAGCAUGCAAUGCAGGUGUAGAAGCACAUAAACUAUGUAUCAAUUUCGAUAUACAUUUAAAUAAGUAGUGAUGUUUGGUUUGAUGAAAUAUACAAAAGAGGCCUAUAAUUAUUUUAUUUAAAAUAUAAUUUAAUUUAAUAUUAUAGGUUAAGCAUUGUAGAUGUAUAUCACUGAAAUGUUUAAGAUUUUGUAAGCACACGCUCACAAUAAUGUGAUCUAAAAAUACAGUCUAUACAGUGUCCAGAUUCUCGAUACAUUUAUGUAUUGGCCUAUCUGAUGCUUUUCCAGGAUCUACAGCAUCAUUCAUAGCCAAAUGUUCUACCAUAAGAGGGAAUGUAGCCUACAAAUGAAAAGGCAUUUAUCAGUAUACUAAAGUAUGUAGUUGGUAGCUUAUACAAGUUAUAUUAUUAUAGUUCACAACAGAAUAUAUAAGUGUAUCUGGCUAUAACAGUGUUCCAUGAAACCUUUUAGGUUCAUAAAUGUGUUUUUGCUAUUGUCUAUUUCGCCAGCAGACGGCGCUGAAGGCAUGUAACAACGUGGCUUCAUCUGUCUGUGUUGCUCACGCCUAACCUUUUGGAUAUAGCCUAUGUGUGAAUUUAUAUAUGUAUAAACACGUGCUUUUACAAGAUACAUAGCGGCUUGUUACUGUAUUUUGCUUCUCAUAUUCUAUCAUCUUUCAUAGCUCACAUUUACAAUGUAAAUUAACCAUCAGAUCAUUAACAAAUAAAAACAAUUGUAUAGGCCUAUUUAAAACAUGUAUCUAUCUAUCCUAUAGGAGUUUUAACAAUGCUAAUUGUUGAUGUUAUGGGUUGAAAACCUAUGCGCAAAAUUGCAUGUUAUUUUGGCCUGUCAUUGAAGUAGUGACCACUCUUGGUCAUAUUGUUAGUGAGUGAACUUUUUUUGUUUACUCAAAUGUCCUACGACUAAGUGAAUUUCAACAACAAAGGAAUGGAAGUUAGGCUAUAUGUAGUCAUGUUUUUGUUCAGGCUUAUGUGCUGACAACACCCGAAACAAAACUAGGCAACUUAUUUGUGAUGGGCUUGCCUCCGUUUUCUUUUGGCAUUCAACUUCAGUUCAAGUGAAGCUCAUCCAUUUCAACAAUGGGGAAACAGCUAAGAUUACCUAUCCCCUUUUCAAUGUAAAAACCGAGCUGAAUUUGCUGAUCGGUUCCUUUUAUGUUAAGUUAACUGAAAACACUAAUAUUUAUUUCAUGGAUAGCUACACUACUUCUAAUUACUAACAGAAAAGGAAUAACAUCACCCCUAUGACUAUAGCCUCUACAACUAGACCUCUACAUUCACAACUAUUACUACAACUGUUACUAUGGCCUAAUGGUAAUAAAGUGGUUGUUCUAAGCGAACUUGAUAGAAUAAUAUAGGCCAGGAUAUUUGUAUGUUUAAGUUUUGAUUGAUUUAUGCCCCCAUUUGCUUUGCCCCUGUUUAGUCUUUGAAAAAAAUCAGGAUAUAGCCUACAAAUAGAAAACAUGAUAUAACGAUAUUUGUAUUUGAUUCAGUAAAGAUACAAUAUCUAAUUAAGUUUAAAAUGCUAUUUAUUAUUCUCAGCAACUUUUUAAUGUUGGCUUAAAAUAAUAGCCUAUAUAAAUUGAAACAGCUGAAUUGGUCCAAUAUGCUGUUUACCUAACAACAUAAUUAAAUGUAUCCUACUGUAUAAUUUCUGGAUCUUGUAAUCCUUCGAUUUUCAGUAGGAAGCACUUAAAGUUUGCCAUCCUAGUAAAAUGUUUCCACUUAAAGCACUUGCAAUAAUAAAUAUAUAGCUUAGGCCUAUUGGUUGAUAACAGCAGAUUCUGCCUCAGUGCUCCACCACUGACCGCAAGUAACCCCGCCCCUUUAUGCUAAAUAAAAGACACAAUCCUGGCCGAGGGAACAGUCGCUCUGUGAUUGGUCAGGUAAAAAGGCAUUUAUUCCCUGACAGCCCUCAUCACAUGAAUGGUUGUCUAUUAACUUGUUCAAAAAGUAUCAGGAGUUGUCAAGGCUCUGGCGGAGAGGGAAAAGUAGUUUGUUGAUUCUUUGAGACCAAGAGAGAAGUUUGUGGACACAACAGGACCUACUGGCUCAAAGCAAAAAGACGUUUACUAUUUCUACAAAGUUACUGAAAACGACAAGGAGCUAUGCGCCUAAGGAUUACGAAGGACUACCGUGCAAAGUUUGUUGCCUGUAAACCAAUGCUUUGAGGUGAAGAUUAUUCGCCCAAAAUGUUCAAGAUUCUCACCAAGGAUAACAGCACUGUAUAAGAAGAGGACCCAAUGGUUCCAAAAGGCCUGGUUUUGCUCUACCGCCGUCCGCCCAGUCUGCCGCAGCUAUUUGGACAGCAACAGGUGAAAAGGUGAGAGGAGAUUGCUGAAAUCCAUAUGACCAAGAUGACACGUCUGCCCAGGAGAUGGAUACCUCACCAGAUAUGUUUUCCCUGCCAUGGUUGUGAUAAUUGGAUUUUCUGGACACCUGUAUGAGUGCAGUAUAUCCAGCGGAUUAUAACCAGGGAAAGGGUGUCUUUCUGACGUCCUUGAUGCACAUCCAAUGAUGAGUGGGUGAUGGAGGUCCCUCUGCUGUAACCCUGACCUCCAGAGCAUAAUGACCGCUCCAAAGACAGGACCUAAGGAAAGAUGAGUCAAAUGAAACACAUCUUGACACCACUGCUUCUGCUGCAAACAUGAUGACAUGAUCUGUCUCUGUGAAGACAAAAACAAUGUACCUGUUGUGCAACUCUCAUAUGGUUAAUUUUGAAACGGUUAAACUGAAACAGUGAAACAUUUUACCAAUAGAGGCUACGCUGCUUAUGAUUUGAACUGUAUCGUCCGUUGAUGUAUUAUAUUUCAUGAUGUUACAUAUCUUCAAUAAAUGUAUUGGUGUCUUUGGUAGAAAUAUUGAGCAUUACAAUAUUUGGAAACUGGGGUAGGGAGUUCACAAUCA